GACGGAGGAUGUAAGCGUUAUCCGGAAUGAUUGGGCGUAAAGCGUCCGCAGGUGGCAGUUCAAGUCUGCUGUCAAAGACCGGGGCUUAACUUCGGAAAGGCAGUGGAAACUGAACAGCUAGAGUAUGGUAGGGGCAGAGGGAAUUCCUGGUGUAGCGGUGAAAUGCGUAGAGAUCAGGAAGAACAUCGGUGGCGAAGGCGCUCUGCUGGACCAUAACUGACACUCAGGGACGAAAGCUAGGGGAGCGAAUGGG
rnacentral:rRNA from 1 species